rnacentral:snRNA from 1 species
AGCUUUGUGCAGGGACUGUAUCAUAGCCAAUGAGGUUUAUCCAAGGCACUAUUAUUACUAAUAGAAAAGGUCUUAGGCUUGGUAACUUCUAUCCUGCUCCUGCAGACACUUCAGAUGGUUUUUGUUUUAUCCAUCAA